rnacentral:rasiRNA from 1 species
UUCCUUGAUUCGUCACGCGGUGACCCAA